AGUGAACGCUGGCGGUAUGCCUAACACAUGCAAGUCGAACGGCAGCACAGUAAGAUCUCGCUCUUACGGUUGGCGACGGACGGACGAGUAAGGAAUACAUCGGCAUCUACUUUUACUGGGGUAACAACGUAGAGCAACUUACACUACUACCGCAUACGUCCUACGGCUGAAAUCAGAAGAGCUUCACACCUUUCCCGACUCAAAUAGCCGACGUCGCAUUAGCUAGUUGGUUUGGUAAAGGCCCACCAAGGCGACGAUGCGUAGCAGAGCUGAGAGGAUGAUCGGCCACACUGGAACUGAGACACGGUCCAGACUCCUACGGGAGGCAGCAGUAGGGAAUCUUCCACAAUGGGCGAAAGCCUGACGCAGCAAUGCCGCGUGAGUGAUGAAGGUCUUCGGGUUGUAAAGCUCUGUUGUUAGGAAAGAACAGAUGCAGAUUAAUACCUGCAUGUCUUGACGGUACCCAAUCAAUAAGCCACGGCUAACUUCGUG
rnacentral:rRNA from 1 species